rnacentral:rRNA from 1 species
AGAGUUUGAUCCUGGCUCAGAAUCAACGCUGGCGGCGUGCCUAACACAUGCAAGUCGCACGAGAAAGGGGAGCAAUCCCUGAGUAAAGUGGCGCACGGGUGAGUAACACGUGAAUGAUCUACCUCCGAGUGGGGAAUAACUGAGAGAAAUCUUAGCUAAUACCGCAUAACACUUACGAGUCAAAGCAGCAAUGCGCUUGGAGAGGAGUUCGCGGCCGAUUAGUUAGUUGGCGGGGUAAUGGCCCACCAAGACGAUGAUCGGUAUCCGGCCUGAGAGGGCGCACGGACACACUGGAACUGAAACACGGUCCAGACUCCUACGGGAGGCAGCAGUGGGGAAUUUUGCGCAAUGGGGGAAACCCUGACGCAGCAACGCCGCGUGGAGGAUGAAAUAUCUUGGUAUGUAAACUCCUUUCGAUGGGGAAGAUUAUGACGGUACCCAUAGAAGAAGCCCCGGCUAACUUCGUGCCAGCAGCCGCGGUAAUACGAGGGGGGCAAGCGUUGUUCGGAUUUAUUGGGCGUAAAGGGUGCGUAGGCGGUUUGGCAAGUCUGAUGUGAAAUCUAUGGGCUCAACCCAUAGUCUGCAUCAGAAACUGCCGGGCUUGAGUAUGGGAGAGGUGAGUGGAAUUUCCGGUGUAGCGGUGAAAUGCGUAGAUAUCGGAAGGAACACCUGUGGCGAAAGCGGCUCACUGGACCAUAACUGACGCUGAUGCACGAAAGCUAGGGGAGCAAACAGGAUUAGAUACCCUAGUAGUCC